rnacentral:rRNA from 1 species
CAGAGGGUGCGAGCGUUAAUCGGAAUUACUGGGCGUAAAGCGUGCGUAGACGGUUAUGUAAGUCGGAUGUGAAAGCCCCGGGCUCAACCUGGGAAUUGCAUUCGAGACUGCAUAGCUAGGAUGCGGAAGAGGGAAGCGGAAUUUCCGGUGUAGCGGUGAAAUGCGUAGAUAUCGGAAGGAACACCAGUGGCGAAAGCGGCUUCCUGGUCCAGCAUCGACGUUCAGGCACGAAAGCGUGGGGAGCAAACAGGAUUAGAUACCCUGGUAGUCCACGCCAUAAACGAUGAGAACUAGACGUUGAGAGGGUAAGCCUCCCAGUGUCGUAGCUAACGCGCUAAGUUCUCCGCCUGGGGAGUACGGCCGCAAGGUUG